UGCGUAGGCGGAAACUUAAGUCAGUGGUAAAAGGCAGUAGCUUAACUAUUGUAAGCCAUUGAAACUGGGUUUCUUGAGUUCGGUAGAGGUAGGCGGAAUGUGUUGUGUAGCGGUGAAAUGCAUAGAUAUAACACAGAACACCGAUUGCGAAGGCAGCUUACUAUGCCGUUACUGACGCUAAGGCACGAAAGCGUGGGUAUCAAACAGGAUUAGAUACCCUGGUAGUCC
rnacentral:rRNA from 1 species